UCAGACUUCAUAUUAUAUCUAAAAAAUAAAAAAGACCGAAGUGCCCUACCCUACAAAUCACGCUAUUCUUUUCUUCUCAGCACGCUUCCAUUAUGUUCUUUUUCAUCGACACACACAAAAAAUCCAUUCCUGCCAUCGAUAAUCUGCUGAAGCUCGUCACUGCAAUCGCCGUCACCGAUGGUUUCUCUACCUCCGGCGACAGUUGUGCCUCCGGCAACUUUACCUCCCACGACUUCUAUAUUUUUCUUCUUUUGAUAUGUGCGGUUUUUCUUGAGAAAUCUGAUGAAAUUGGUCUUCCCUCUUGGUCGCAGGUUGGCGGGUUGACGUGUCAAAAUAUACCAACCCGAACACGACCCAUUUAACUAUACAAGUCACAGGUUGACAGGUUUGGAACAUAAACUCAUAUAUGACCAGGGACGGACGCAGGAUUUUGUAGUAGGUGUUGCCGGUCCGUAAUAGGUGUUGUCGAUCCAUAGUAGGUGUUGCCGGUGGCACAUUUUAUAGUAGAAAAAAAGGAACAAAAAUCGAAAAUUUUGCACUACGUCGAGAAAAACUAGGUGUUGCCGGUGCCACCGUUGGCACCAUACUAGAUCCGUCCUUGUAUAUGACCUGUCAACCCACUUAUUUAUACGGGUUUACAGGUUGUCGGGUUCGUGGGUUAGAUUUGGGUUCUUGUGUUCGUAGGUUGGAUCGUAGCAAAUCAAUUGCUUACUACGUUGUGCGUUCGUCGUUCAUGUUCAGGCGUCGAUGUCGUUAAAUAAUGAUUUAAUUAUUCAUGUCAUCGUUCUUUGUGAGUCCAUUCUGCCGUUCAUCACAAAGGGGAGAGCAACAGAGGGCUUAUUCGAUUUUGUUUGUGAGAUAUUGAGAUUAUUUAGGGCAAACGCCAAAUGUCAAAUGGUUAAUGGUAUCGGGUAUCCUAUUUUAGUAUAAAGUAUAAACUGUAUAGUGUAUAAUACUCGCUUAAUACAUAUAUAUAUAUAUAUAUAUAUAUAUAUAUAUAUAUAUAUAUAUAUAUAUAUAUAUAUAUAUAUAUAUAUAUAAUUGUAAAAGGGUUUGCGGGUCAACCCGUAUAUUUUUUGAGAAACUUAUAUAUGACCCGUCAACCCACUUAUUUAUACGGGUUUACAGGUUGGCGGGUUCGUGAGUUAGAUUUGGGUUCCUAUGUUCGUAGGUUGGGUUCAUGGGUUAGAUUUGGGUUUGUGGGUCUGAUUUGGUUUCCUGUGUUCAUGGGUUAUAUGAAUUUUUUUAUUCAAAAUUCUAAAUGGGUUGACGGGUCAACCCAUAUUUUUUUUGAGAAACUCAUAUAUGACCUGUUUAAUAAACGGGUUGAUGGGUUGGCGAGUUGACGGUGUGAAAAGCUCAACCCAAACCCGUUUAUUUCAUGUCGUGUCGUGGGUUGUAUCGCGGGUCGUGUCGAGAAUUGUCAGGGAUACCUGCCAUACAUGUAACAUCCCGACUCCCAGGUGUAAUAUUUAAUUAUUUUAUAUUCAUAAUGUCAGAGAAACUCGACGAGUUGGAUUCCCCAACUCGCCGAGUAGAGGAGUUAAUGACCGCGUGAUUUCUAGAGUUUACUCGAUGAGUUGGAGGACCCCAACUCGACGAGUAGGAGCUGAGUGAGAAAACCCUAAUUUUCAGGGUUUGUGUCCUAUCUAGUGCAUCUUUGGAAGAGGAUUGAAGAGCAUCAAGUCUUGGAACGAGAAGAUGCUUUUGGAUCAAGUGUUUUUCUAUGCUAGCUUCAGUUUGGAGGAUCGCGGGAAGGCGUCGCUUUGUUUGUACACACCUAUUCGAGACUAUGUUUGAGGAUUCUGGGAUACUAUCAGUUAUUUUGUGGAUUUUUGUUUGACAUUUGAGACAAUUGUGGUUUUUGGAAAAAUAUGACAUGAGUUUUUAUGUGUUUUAAAAAUGAAAGUUUUCAUUGAAAGUUUA